rnacentral:rRNA from 1 species
AGGAGCUUGCUUUUCUUGACUUAGUGGCGAACGGGUGAGUAACGCGUGAGUAACCUGCCCUGGAGUGGGGGACAACAGCUGGAAACGGCUGCUAAUACCGCAUAAGCGCACAGCAUCGCAUGAUGCAGUGUGAAAAACUCCGGUGGUGUGAGAUGGACCCGCGUCUGAUUAGCCAGUUGGCGGGGUAACGGCCCACCAAAGCGACGAUCAGUAGCCGGCCUGAGAGGGUGAACGGCCACAUUGGGACUGAGACACGGCCCAAACUCC